CCUACGGGAGGCAGCAGUGAGGAAUAUUGGUCAAUGGACGAGAGUCUGAACCAGCCAAGUAGCGUGAAGGAUGACUGCCCUAUGGGUUGUAAACUUCUUUUAUAUGGGAAUAAAAUGUUCCACGUGUGGGAUUUUGUAUGUACCAUAUUAAUAAGGAUCGGCUAACUCCGUGCCAGCAGCCGCGGUAAUACGGAGGAUCCGAGCGUUAUCCGGAUUUAUUGGGUUUAAAGGGAGCGUAGGUGGAUUGUUAAGUCAGUUGUGAAAGUUUGCGGCUCAACCGUAAAAUUGCAGUUGAAACUGGCAGUCUUGAGUACAGUAGAGGUGGGCGGAAUUCGUGGUGUAGCGGUGAAAUGCUUAGAUAUCACGAAGAACUCCGAUUGCGAAGGCAGUUCACUGGACUGCAACUGACACUGAGGCUCGAAAGUGUGUGUAUCAAACAGGAUUAGAUACCCUAGUAGUC
rnacentral:rRNA from 1 species